CGUCUUUCCUCUCUCCUCUGUCCCUGCAUUCUCUCUUCUCUUAUCGUAAGAAUUUUCCAUUUUUUCUAUUCGAAUUUCUGCUCCAUUAUACGUAUAUAUAUAGAGAGAGAGAUAUAGAGUUGUGCAAUUGGCCAUGGGAUUUUCGAAGAAGCGUGUGUCUCUUUGUUCUUUGCUACUGUUAUUGCUCUUCAUUAGCGUCAUAGCCAGAGUUCAGAAAGAUGAAGCCUCAAAAAUGAGGUUUGUUUUCCUUCAAACUUAUUGGAAUUUUCUACAUUUGGUUUGUUCAAUGCAUUCUCACCUUUCGGAAUUUGCUGUUUAUAACCGAGUGUGAGUGCAUGCAAUUUGUGCAAUUGUUCUUUUGUGAUCUUUAUUUGAAUGUGAAUUGUUAUUUUUGCUAAUAUAUUUCCCUCUCAUGAUCAAAAUUCACCUGCAUUUUACGCAAUUUGCGCUUCGGUUUGCAGAAUUUUAGAGAAAAAAAUUAAUUGAGCUCUGUUUUUUAACUGAUUUAACAGUGCUGUAGAAACAGAGCAGUUGCAGAGCUCGGAAAACUCAACAAUGGCGACAAGGUUAGGAAAACUCAGCAUUUUUUUACUACAGAGUUGAUACGGCACCUGAUCAUUUUCUUAAUCUUCAUUGGAUUAUUUCAUUCUCCUCCAAUCCUAGCCUAGUAAGAACAGCUUAAAUGUAAGAUGUUGGAUCUCUAAUUCAUUCCAUAAAGAAUGAAUCCCAAAUGUUCAGAUCCAAUAUUUACCAGAUCUCAACCGUUUAUUCCGUAGUCUCCUCGGAUUCCUCUGUAUAGAAAAUCAUCAUUGGCUCCCGAACCACUCUUUUCACAUGAAUGCCCUCUAACUAUUCCGUUUAUUCCAUAUCAAACACUUAAUCAUAAGAAAUGCCGUCAGGGCAUUUUAGUACUUUCGCUACACAUUCCUCCGUGUCACCUCGCCCUAAAGUCAGUUAUAGUUGACCCCUCUAGAAAAUAGCACUUUUUGACGGUUUAAGUGGUAAAUAUUUGUAUGUAUAGAUGUAUGUGUAUAUUACUCUUACCACUAUUUUAAGCAGUGUACAGUUCCCUGUGUGUGUUUUUGGCAGUGCUUUUACUUUUCUGUGUCAAUGUGUCACCACCCCACUUUUUCCUCCGCCAAAUAUUGCUGAAUUACAAGUGUCGGUUGCUGACAUCCCAUGUGAAACAAUAAAUACUCUUUCGGAUUUCAAACACAAAAAAUAAAAAAUAAUAGCAUUCGUUUAUGUGACAUUAUAUGAUAUGUUCAAUUAAAAGUGAAAUUAUAUGAUUCAUUUAAUUGAAAUCUUCAUUGACUGUUAGUGCUAUCUAGAUCGAUUUUGUAACAUUAAUGGUUUUAAAUAGUAUUGAUGUAGACGACCCAAAUUUAUUGAGAUAGAACGAAGCUUAGUUUGUUGUUGUAAUUUGUGUAACUGUGUGCUUAUGUGUGAUAAAUAUUUGAUGGUUCAGGUUAGGAGAAAAUGAAGAGGAGCCUUUGAAUGAACAUGCAGUGGAUAACCCAGAAGAGGUUGCUGCAUCAGUUGAACUGUGGGUUCAAUCUGUCUCAUUUUGUUUAUUNCAUUGAAUAUUUGCACAUGAUUGUUAGAUAUGUUCAAAAGAUAUUGGAAAAUUAAUGUCUUUUAGGAUGAUAAAGAGAAGGAUCAGUUCUUACAUUUAAGUUUUUAUUUACGUAUCUGAUUUAUGUGAUGCUCCAAUGUUUAGCCUCUUUUUUGGUUGUCCUUCCAUCUAUCUCAAAUCAUUGUUCAUUUUCUUAAACAAACUCAUUUAUUUUCUUCCUGAAAUCCCUCCAUUAAACUGACAUUUUUGCACAUCAACUUUCUUUCACAUGAACAACUCUUUCUUCUAAUGUGUAGUAUUUGCUAUUUUAACCUUCUAUCUAAUUUUUUACUUUUGCAGUAAUAGGUUAUGAAAUCAUUUUCUUGUAUGUGUUAUUAAGGACUUUUGGCUUUUGUUUACAAAUGUAUUAUUUAGUUGAGCAAUAUGGGAUUUGGGAAAAUUCUGUUUCCCUACUAAGUGCAUUGGAAAAAUGACAAGUUAACCUACAAACCAUACUCAUCCAAACAAGCGCAAUUUCUUCUUAUCUUCUUCAAGGGUUCCACAUGAAAACAUGCAAGUUCCUCUUUAUAGACCUGCUCAUUUUUUAAUUCUUCUGGGAGUCUUGUUUUUUGUGCUUAUUCUAUUUGAAAAUGAUUCAGGUUGCAAUAAGGAUUGGUGCUUCAUUUGUGAGUUUGAAGGUCUGAUUCUAAAGGGAUAGGAACUGAGAUCUAGUUUAUCUCCAAUUAGGAUACUGUCUCAAAUUCUAAAGUCAUCUAAGUCAUGGAAGACAAGAAGAUGCCCACGAGUUUUUGAGGUAUGUAGUGCGAAGUAGUUUUAAUUUUGGUUUAAGAAUUUGCAACUAAAUAUGUUGACUUUGAUUUUGUUUCUGCACAUCAGGUAUGCAGUAGAUGCAAUGAGGCCUUAGUGGGGGAGCAUUGAGAAUCUGAAAGAAUUCCCUAGUGUGCACUUUGUAUACUGAGAUAAUUGCAAGAAGUGGAUAAAUCACCCAAUUUGAUGACUAUAGUAGAUGCAAUGAGGCCUUAAUGGUUUUAUUUUUUUUAUUUUUAUUUAUUUACGUAUUUUUUAGGUAUUUUACAAUUUUUGAUAUGGAUUUUGUAUUAAUAUUGUUACAUUUUAGAGUUCAAUUAAUAAUGAUUAUUGAAAUUAUUCGAUAUAGUUAUUUUCCUAUUA
rnacentral:lncRNA from 1 species